CCUACAGGUGGCAGCAGUAGGGAAUCUUCCACAAUGGGCGAAAGCCUGAUGGAGCAACGCCGCGUGGGUGAAGAAGGUCUUCGGAUCGUAAAACCCUGUUGUUAGAGAAGAAAGUGCGUGAGAGUAACUGUUCACGUUUCGACGGUAUCUAACCAGAAAGCCACGGCUAACUACGGGCCAGCAGCCGCGGUAAAACGUAGGGGGCAAGCGUUAUCCGGAUUUGUUGGGCGUAAAGGGAACGCAGGCGGUCUUUUAAGUCUGAUGUGAAAGCCUUCGGCUUAACCGGGGUAGUGCAUUGGAAACUGGGAGACUUGAGUGCAGGAGAGGAGAGUGGAACUCCAUGUGUAGCGGUGAAAUGCGUAGAUAUAUGGAAGAACACCAGUGGCGAAAGCGGCUCACUGGUCUGUAACUGACGCUGAGGUUCGAAAGCGUGGGUAGCAAACAGGAUUAGAUACCCCGGUAGUC
rnacentral:rRNA from 1 species